GAACUCUUCUAGCAGAGGAAAAAAAAAUUAGAAGACGGCAGUAAUUUUCCGCAACAAGUCGCUAUUCUAUCUUUGUCCUGCCCACUUUCUUGCUCUGUAUAUUAACACUGUUGGUUGCUAUCUCAAUCCUUGUCACAAAUUAGAACUUAUACAAAAGCCAAAGAGGUUACUUUCUUCGAGUUCAUGUGAGUAGUUGAGAGCUCCUUUUGCUUUCCUCAGCCAAGAUUCAGGGGUUUAUACAAUCUUUUUGUGGGAUGUUUGACAUGUGAAUUCCUAUAUCGAAAAAGGCAACCCUUUAAGGAUUGAGCAAUAGCUGACUUCUCCAUUGAAGUUGUGCCAUGGAAGCCGCCAUUUUUAGCUCUUACACACCGCUUUCCACUACAGCGGACCUCAGGAUUCCAGGAAAGUUUGCUGGAUGUAAUCUCCAAUUCUAUAAUUUGCCAUUGAACAGAACACGCAUUCCUCUCAAGUUAAAACUUUCUGAAUCAAGUAGAAGGCACUUUUCUUCACGAAAGGGGCUGAUAUUGUCAAAUGGUAGGAAAGAAUUAUCCAGCUAUUUUACGGGUCAACUUUCAAGAGACUAUACAAGUAUCAGGGCAGCAUCAGGAGAAACGCUGCAUUAUGGACAGUCUUCAUCAGUUAGUGAAGAUGAGGGAAUGUCACCAACAUCUACAGAGGCCAAUGACUUUGUGUCCUUGCAGCCUAAGCAGAAGCAAUUUAAAAAUAGAUUCUUGAACUUUGUAAGACUGGGUUCCGUCAUUGAUAAUGCUGCCGAGUCUUUUUUCAAGAGUGAGAUAAGGAGAAGGCUGUUUGUGACUGCCAUCUUAAUUCUCAUUAGCCGUAUAGGAUAUUUCAUUCCUCUUCCAGGAUUUGACAGGAGGUUGAUUCCAGAAGACUAUCUCAGCUUUGUCUCGGGAUCUGUUGAUCAACUUGGUGAUUCGACUCCGGAACUUAAACUCUCUCUUUUCCAACUUGGGGUCAGUCCUCAGAUAGCGGCAUCCAUUCUUAUGCAGGUAUUAUGUCACGUUCUUCCUUCUUUAGUGAAGCUGAGAAAAGAGGGCUUAGAUGGGCAUGAGAAGAUCAAGAGUUAUAUAUGGUGGAUCUCGCUUGGUUUUGCAAUUUUGGAGGGUCUUAUUCUCUCUUGUUACUCACUUCCAUAUUCGAUAUAUGCUGCCAGUCAUAGGGUUAAGCAUGUGUUGAUGACUACGUCCCUUUUAGUUUCUGGUGCAAUGACCAUGUCAUGGAUCUGCGACAAAAUAACAGAGUCUGGAUUUGGUCAAGGAUCAACUUUGAUUAUUUGUGUGGGCAUUUUGACUGGCUACACUGAUACAUUGCAGAAAAUGUUAACUCAAAUAUCAGGAAAUAGCGGGAGCUGGUGGCCUUAUGUACUUGCAGUACUAGGUGUUUUUACUGUUGUUACAAUGUGGGCUGUCGUUGUGAGUGAAGGGUGCCGGAAAGUUAAGCUGCAGUAUUAUGGUUUUAAAGUCGCUUCUGCUGCAAGAGAAGAUUCUCCAGUUCCAGAGGUGGAGCCCUAUAUACCAUUCAACAUAAACCCAGCAGGAAUGCAGCCUAUUCUUGUUACCUCUUAUCUGUUGGCACUUCCCGGCAUCCUUGCAAGUCUUCUUGGUUCAAGGUUUUGGGAACACGUAAGAGACAUUUUGAAUCCCGACACUUCUCAUGGGGCAGAUCCGUGGGUUUACUAUACAGUUUAUGCUUUCUUUGUCUUCCUCUUCAACAUAUUUGACAUUGCGAACAUGCCAAAAGAAAUUGCUGAUUACUUAAACAAGAUAGGUGCUAGAAUUCCGAGUAUAAAGCCUGGAAAAGCUACAAUUGCAUAUUUGACAAAGAUCCAAGCUUCAACGCGGUUCUGGGGUGGUGUAUUAUUAAGUGUUUUGGCCACUACAUCCACCAUUCUAGACCAUUAUUUGCGUCGCAUCAAUGAAGGAUAUGCAAUAGGAUUGACAUCAGUGCUAAUAAUUGUGGGCUCAAUUAUUGAACUGAGAAGAUCUUAUCAAGCAUAUAAUGUAAUGCCAAGUCUAAGUAUGGCUUUGAAGCGGUAUGGUGUAUGAGAUUGGAGGGUGGCUCUAUUUGAGUAAAUGGGAUUCAGUUCUUGCUUGCACCAUUGGUGCGGAGAAUAUUUUGCAGAGUCUAGGAUUUUCUUGAGUGAAAUCUACGUACUGAUCACAUUUUGUAACUUGGAAGAUCAAAGAUGUCACGAUCAGCCUACUCCUCCCGGUCAAGCCACAUUUUCCAUAUGUAGCGAGUAAAAUGUAGCCCUUUGGCUGAGAGUAAACCAUGAUGCAGGAUGAGUCGCAGUGUCACACGAUGAGGACUAGCCCGUGCUGCAAAUAACUGAAUUUUAACAAAGACGAGCGUGAUAGGGAGGGGUUUAUCGAUUUGUUCAGGGAGAGCAUUAUUUGGCUUGCUUACAUUCUGAUGAAGUGCUGUCUGUGCAUUAAUAGAGUUCAAGAUGCCUGAAGAAUAUGCAUGGUCAUAAUUAUAUAUGAUAUUACAUUUGUUUGUGCUCUAGAUGGCCAAGAUAUGGCAUGAAGCAAGUGUACUUUUCUUCUCUUGGCAAGCAAAAGAGGAUGUAAUUUUUUUUAAAUAUUUUUUUGGGGUAUGUUUACAAUCUUCGUGUUGGUUGAAUGGUGUGCAUCAGUGUGAAACUUUAAUCAUACUUGCUCCUUUUACCUCUGUACUCAAAUGUU